UCCGGCUUAUCACCGGCGGUUUCUUUAGAGUGCCCAACUAAAUGAUGGCAACUAAAGACGAGGGUUGCGCUCGUUGCGGGACUUAACCCAACAUCUCACGACACGAGCUGACGACAGCCAUGCAGCACCUGUGUGCAGGUACCCGAAGGGAAGACCCCCGUCUCCAGAGGCCGUCCUGCCAUGUCAAGAGCUGGUAAGGUUCUUCGCGUUGCUUCGAAUUAAACCACACGCUCCGCUGCUUGUGCGGGUCCCCGUCAAUUCCUUUGAGUUUUAGUCUUGCGACCGUACUCCCCAGGCGGGCUACUUACUGCGUUUGCGCCGGCACCGGAGGGGUCGAUACCCCCAGCACCUAGUAGCCAUCGUUUAGGGCGUGGACUAC
rnacentral:misc_RNA from 1 species